GUGCUUGCUUCAGCAGCAUGUAUACUAAAAUUGGAAUGAUACAGAGAAGAUUAGCAUGGACCCCUGUACAAGGAAAAUCUGGCAGCUAAGAAGUGGCUACAGAGACAU
ensembl:snRNA U6 U6 spliceosomal RNA